GAAAGCAUGGGUAGCGAACAGGAUUAGAUACCCUGGUAGUCCAUGCCGUAAACGAUGAUUACUAAGUGUUGGAGGGUUUCCGCCCUUCAGUGCUGCAGCUAACGCAUUAAGUAAUCCGCCUGGGGAGUACGACCGCAAGGUUGAAACUCAAAAGAAUUGACGGGGGCCCGCACAAGCGGUGGAGCAUGUGGUUUAAUUCGAAGCUACGCGAAGAACCUUACCAGGUCUUGACAUCUUCUGACAGUCUAAGAGAUUAGAGGUUCCCUUCGGGGACAGAAUGACAGGUGGUGCAUGGUUGUCGUCAGCUCGUGUCGUGAGAUGUUGGGUUAAGUCCCGCAACGAGCGCAACCCUUAUUACUAGUUGCCAGCAUUAAGUUGGGCACUCUAGUGAGACUGCCGGUGACAAACCGGAGGAAGGUGGGGACGACGUCAAAUCAUCAUGCCCCUUAUGACCUGGGCUACACACGUGCUACAAUGGAUGGUACAACGAGUCGCGAAACCGCGAGGUUAAGCUAAUCUCUUAAAACCAUUCUCAGUUCGGACUGUAGGCUGCAACUCGCCUACACGAAGUCGGAAUCGCUAGUAAUCGCGGAUCAGCAUGCCGCGGUGAAUACGUUCCCGGGCCUUGUACACACCGCCCGUCACACCAUGAGAGUUUGUAACACCCAAAGCCGGUGGGGUA
rnacentral:rRNA from 1 species